rnacentral:rRNA from 1 species
AGAGUUUGAUCCUGGCUCACCGAUGAACGCUAGCGGGAGGCUUAACACAUGCAAGUCGAGGGGUAUAGUAGCAAUACUAGAGACCGGCGCACGGGUGAGUAACGCGUAUGUAACCUGCCCUUUACAGGAGGAUAGCCCGUCGAAAGGCGGAUUAAUACUCCAUAAUCUGGUGCCUUUGCAUGAAGGGACCAGUAAAGCUGCGGCGGUAAAGGAUGGGCAUGCGUGACAUUAGCUAGUUGGUAGGGUAACGGCCUACCAAGGCUACGAUGUCUAGGGGUUCUGAGAGGAAGGUCCCCCACACUGGUACUGAGACACGGACCAGACUCCUACGGGAGGCAGCAGUGAGGAAUAUUGGUCAAUGGGCGCGAGCCUGAACCAGCCAUCCCGCGUGCAGGAAGACGGCCCUAUGGGUUGUAAACUGCUUUUGUGCAGGAAGAACGCUCGAUACGUGUAUUGAGGUGACGGUACUGCAUGAAUAAGCACCGGCUAACUCCGUGCCAGCAGCCGCGGUAAUACGGAGGGUGCAAGCGUUAUCCGGAUUUUAUUGGCUUUACAGGGUGCGUAGGCGGUAGUAUAAAGUCAGCGGUGAAAAUCUGCAGCUCAACCUGUAGACCCUGCCAUUGAAACUGUAUUACUUGAGUAACCAUGAGGGAGGGCCGAAUGC